UGCCAGCCGCCGCGGUAAUACGUAGGCCCCAAGCAUUAUCCGGAUUUAUUGGGCGUAAAGCGCUAAAAGGUGGCUUGAUAAGUCAGGUGUUAAAGACCAGAGCUCAACUCUGGGCCUGCACCUGAAACUAUCUAGCUUGAGUAUGGGAGAGGCAAGUGGAAUUACCGGUGUAGCAGUAAAAUGCGUUAAUAUCGGUAGGAACACCAAUGGCGAAGGCAGCUUGCUGGAACAUUACUGACACUAAAUAGCGAAAGCGUAGGUAGCGAAUGGGAUUAGAUA
rnacentral:rRNA from 1 species